UACGAAGGGGGCUAGCGUUGUUCGGAAUCACUGGGCGUAAAGCGCACGUAGGCGGAUGAUUAAGUCAGGGGUGAAAUGCCAAGGCUCAACCUUGGAACUGCCUUUGAUACUGGCCAUCUGGAGUCCGGGGAGAGGUGAGUGGAACUGCGAGUGUAGAGGUGAAAUUCGUAGAUAUUCGCAAGAACACCAGUGGCGAAGGCGGCUCACUGGCCCGAUACUGACGCUGAGGCACGAAAGCGUGGGGAGCAAACAGG
rnacentral:rRNA from 1 species